rnacentral:lncRNA from 1 species
UUAAAGAUGUCCGUGGACCGGGUCGGGUCUGGAUAAUUAAUAUACUGUACCCAUACCCUAAAAAGAAAUGGUUACAAAAAAAUAUAUAUACCCUACCCAUUUAACUUCGGGUCGGGUCCGGGUCUCGGUACUAAAGUUUCUAAUAUACCCAUCGGGUCUAUUUGAGCGGAUCUGGGUAGUGAUUAUCCGUAUACUACCCGUUCAAAAUCGGAUAUGGAUCGAGUCUAAAUCGGAUAUGGAUAUCCGUAUAAAUAUAUUUUUUUAUAAACUUUAUUAAAUAGUCAAUAAACAAACUAUAUUGUUGACAAUGAAAUAUUGUUGGCGGAAAUGAAAUGAAAAAAAAAGUAGAAAACAAAGAGUAAAAAAAUUAGAAAAAAGUAAUGAGUAAAAGAGACGGCUAGGGUUUCAUUAGGAUGAAAAUACAUAGUGACUCAUCAUCUAUAAGUCAUAUUAAAAUUGAUCCUUCAACUUCAAAAGUUUUUUUUUUUUUAUUUACUAUCGGAUAUUUCAUCGGGUCCGGGUCCGGGUCCGGAUUUGAAAACUAUUCCGGACCCUACCCAUUUAAAAGCUAGGUUCGGGUCGGGUCCAAAUCGGGUAUGGGUAUAAAAUAUCCGGACCUAUACCCGAAAUUUUAAUGGGUAAUUUUUUUUAUCCGUAUACUAUUUAUUUUUUAUCGGGUCCGGUUCGGGUCCGGUUUGGGUCCGGGUAGGGUCCGGAUCGGGUACGGGAUAUCGGAUAUUUUGGAC